rnacentral:rRNA from 1 species
GACAGAGGGGGCAAGCGUUGCUCGGAAUUACUGGGCGUAAAGGGCGCGUAGGCGGGAUGGCAAGUCGGUCGUGAAAUCCCUCGGCUCAACUGAGGAGCGUCGAUCGAAACUGCCGUUCUUGAGGGUUGCAGAGGAGACUGGAAUUCCUGGUGUAGCGGUGAAAUGCGCAGAUAUCAGGAGGAACACCGGUGGCGAAGGCGGAUCUCUGGGCCUUGCCUGACGCUGAGGCGCGAAAGCUAGGGGAGCGAACAGG